rnacentral:misc_RNA from 1 species
GUGGGAGGGGGCUUGCCCCCGAUAGCGGAGUGUCAGUCGACAUCUAAGUGACUGAUCCACCGCAAUCGGGGGCAAGCCCCCUCCCAC